AUUGAACGCUGGCGGCAGGCUUAACACAUGCAAGUCGAACGAGUGGCGGGCGGGUGAGUAAUGUGUGGAAAUCCCUCUUAUGGGGGGGAAUAACUACGAGAAACUGUAUCUAAUACAGCGUACCCUAUUAGGAGCCCAGGUGGUAUUAGGUAGUUGGUGAGGUAAAGGCUCACCAAGGCGACGAUCUCUAGCUGGUCUGAGAGGAUGACCAGCCACACGGGGACUGAGACACGGCCCAGACUCCUACGGGAGGCAGCAGUGGGGAAUAUUGCGCAAUGGGGGCAACCUGAUGCAGCCAUGCCGCGUGGAUGAAGAAGGCCUUCGGGUUGUAAAGUUCUUUCAGUAGGGAGGCGUUAACUACAGAAGAAGCACCGGCUAACUCCGUGCCAGCAGCCGCGGUAAUAC
rnacentral:rRNA from 1 species